rnacentral:rRNA from 1 species
UACGUAGGGACCGAGCGUUGUCCGGAUUCAUUGGGCGUAAAGAGCUCGUAGGCGGCUGCUCAAGUCGAAUGUGAAAACUCGAGGCUCAACCUCGAGCCUGCAUUCGAUACUGGGCGGCUAGAGUCUGGUAGGGGGAUCUGGAAUUCCUGGUGUAGCGGUGGAAUGCGUAGAGAUCAGGAGGAACACCCAUGGCGAAGGCAGCUCUCUGGUCGACAUCUGACGCUGAGACGCGAAAGCGUGGGGAGCGAACAGG